GGGGGCGGAGUCGCCAUCUUGGACUCGGCUCGACCCAGUCUGGUGACCGGCGACGCUGGGCCGGGUUCGGCGCAGGGGGUCGGGAAGCGCAAAGAAGUUAAGUACUUGACCAAGUUCACACCAAGAUUUGAACCCAGGUAGUCUUACUUCAGAGCCUACGUUCUUAUCCGUGCCCAUUGCCAGCCUCGAGCUCAUUCAUUUGUACCAGGAAACUCAUGCUUUAUCCCUAGAACUCCUCCAAUGGCAGUUUUGUACAGAUCGGAGAAAGUGGUGAACUCAGACAGCAGAGUCAGGCACAAGAAGGAGGAUAUUAUUUGGUGUCCAUUCAGUUGCUGUGCCUAUUAUGGCUUAGAUGCAAUGCUGUUGUACACUUGGGACUACAGUAUAGUGUGAACAUAACUUUUACAUGCACCAGAAGAUUUGUGUGAUUUGAUUUACUGCUACAUUCACUUUAUUGUGGUGGUCUGGAACCAAACCCACAUCAUCUCUGAGUUUAAAAAGAUGGCAGAGAGAAGAGUUCCUGAGAAGACCAGAUAGGACAUUUGCAUCUCAAAGAUGGGGAAACAAGUGUGAAGCAGGGUGUCCUGACUACAAAUGCAGUGUUGUUUCCAAGAUGCCGCAAUGGUGGCUGCCUCUUGGCUCAGCGCCAGCUCACUCCGGGAGUGGACAUGAGUUCCUGGGCUCCACGUCACCCAACACGAAGCCACACGUCAUGCAUGCUCUGUGAAUAGCUCUUGGUGAAAAUGGAAAUUAAACCAGAAUGUGAACAUGCUGAAUGAAUCGGACUCCCCAGAGAUUUGGAGGAGAAGAAAACCUCCCACUCGCCUUUGACUUUUGGAUUUCUUGUUUCCCUCAUGUUUGGAUUGCACUUUAAGAAGUCCAUCUGGAAGUUCACUUUUUAUAUUUUGCAAAUGCAAGUGGAGCUUAUUAUCAAAAGACAAACCCCUAAAGGAAGAAAAACAGUGGGCAGGGAUUGGGGGGGUCAGAGAAUCACCUAAAAAAUCCAGUGACGGUAUUUAAAGUUAAAUUCCAGAAAUUAAACUCCAUUUAUUGCUGGGCCUGACUUUGCCAGUCUGUUAGUUUGGAUGAAUGCAUGGAUAUGUUUAGCUGCUUGCUUCUAUCUAUUAAGCUAGAAGAUGAGUUUGGGUAGGUGUCAACACCUGCAAAUGUCAUCAACCCUGCAAUACCUCUGUAGCACUGAGUUAUCAAAGCAGCACUGCCACAGUCUGCCUGAGACUUCAGUCAUCCCACAGUGGGCACCAGUACACUUCUUUCCUUUUU